GACGUAGGGCGCGAGCGUUGUCCGGAUUUAUUGGGCGUAAAGAGCUCGUAGGCGGUCUGUUGCGUCCGCUGUGAAAACUCGGGGCUUAACCCCGAGCCUGCAGUGGAUACGGGCAGACUAGAGGUAUGCAGGGGAGAACGGAAUUCCUGGUGUAGCGGUGAAAUGCGCAGAUAUCAGGAGGAACACCGGUGGCGAAGGCGGUUCUCUGGGCAUUACCUGACGCUGAGGAGCGAAAGUGUGGGGAGCGAACAGG
rnacentral:rRNA from 1 species